rnacentral:misc_RNA from 1 species
AAGUCGUAACAAGGUUUCCGUAGGUGAACCUGCGGAAGGAUCAUUAACGAGGAAGGGUUCCCGGAAGGGGCCCGAACUCCCCACCCUUUGCUGUUGCGAAUACGUUGCUUCGGCGGGCCCGGUCCCUCCCCCCCUCCCCGGGGGGUACAGGGCCGGCCGGUCCCCUCGCGGACCGGACAGCGCCCGCCGGAGGACCAAAUCAACUCUGUUUUUAACCAUACUGUCGGAGUACUUUUGUACAAUCAAAUUAAAACUUUCAACAACGGAUCUCUUGGUUCUG